ACCGCGUGAGUGAUGAAGGUCCGGAUCGUAAAACUCUGUUGUUAGGGAAGAACAAGUGCUAGUAACUGAUGGCACCUUGACGGUACCUAACCAGAAAGCCACGGCUAACUACGUGCCAGCAGCCGCGGUAAUACGUAGGUGGCAAGCGUUGUCCGGAAUUAUUGGGCGUAAAGCGCUCGCAGGCGGUUCUUUAAGUCUGAUGUGAAAUCUUACGGCUCAACCGUAAACGUGCAUUGGAAACUGGGGAACUUGAGUGCAGAAGAGGAGAGUGGAAUUCCACGUGUAGCGGUGAAAUGCGUAGAGAUGUGGAGGAACACCAGUGGCGAAGGCGACUCUCUGGUCUGUAACUGACGCUGAGGAGCGAAAGCGUGGGGAGCGAACAGGAUUAGAUACCCUGGUAGUCCACGCCGUAUACCGAUGAGUGCUAGGUGUCAGGGAGUUUCCGCCCCUUCGUGCUGACGUUAACGCAUUAAGCAUUCCGCCUGGGGAGUACGGACGAAAGGCUGACACUCAUAAGAAUUGCCGGUGGCCCGUCAAGCGGUGGAGCAUGUGGUUCAAUUCGACAGCCACGCGAAGAACCUUACCAGGGUCUUGACAUCCUCUGACAACUCUA
rnacentral:rRNA from 1 species